GAGUCAGGGGCUCGUCCGAAAGCCGCCUUGGCCCAAUGUAGGUGAAGAGCCCGGCCCGGGGCCCGAGGUGGGAUCCCGAGGCCUCUCCAGUCCGCCGAGGGAGGGCGCACCACCGGCCCGUCUCGCCCGCCGCGCCGGGAAGGUGGAGCUCGAGCGUAUGCUUUAGGACCCGAAAGAUAGUGAAGUAUGGCUGGGCAGGGCGAAGCCAGAGGAAACUCUGGUGGAGGUCUGUAGCGGUCCUGACGUGCAAAUCGGUCGUCAGACCUGGGUAUAGGGGCGAAAGACUAAUCGAACCAUCUAGUAGCUGGUUCCCUCCGAAGUUUCCCUCAGGAUAGCUGGCGCUCUUGCUCUUCCCGAUACACGCAGUUUUAUCCAGUAAAGCGAAUGAUUAGAGAGGUCUUGGGGCCGAAACGAUCUCAACCUAUUCUCAAACUUUAAAUGGGUAAGAAGCCGGCUCGCUGGCCCAUCUCUCCAGCCCAUGUUUUCUCUUCUUUAGAUAUGAAUUUCAUUGUGGGUUUUGUCCUUAAUCGUAUUUUUAUAAUUGUGUGAUUAAGUCUAAUGUUAACAGUUCAGUAGAAACAUAAAACUUAGAGCUCUAUUCAUGUGAAUGAAAUUAAAUUUUUUUCCAAAGUAUUUGCCUUUUUUUAAAAUUUUAUUUCUUAGAAUUAUCAAAAGAUGAUAAGUAAAACAAGGAAAUCUUACUAGAGUGGAAAAAAGUACAAAU
rnacentral:ncRNA from 1 species